UUAAGCGACUAAGCGUACACGGUGGAUGCCCUGGCAGUCAGAGGCGAUGAAGGACGUGCUAAUCUGCGAAAAGCGUCGGUAAGGUGAUAUGAACCGUUAUAAACCGGCGAUGUCCGAAUGGGGAAACCCAGUGCAAUUCGUUGCACUAUCGUUAACUGAAUACAUAGGUUAACGAGGCGAACCGGGGGAACUGAAACAUCUAAGUACCCCGAGGAAAAGAAAUCAACCGAGAUUCCCCCAGUAGCGGCGAGCGAACGGGGAGCAGCCCAGAGUCUGAAUCAGCUUGUGUGUUAGUGGAACGGUCUGGAAAGUCCGACGGUACAGGGUGAUAGUCCCGUACACCAAAAUGCACAGGCUGUGAACUCGAAGAGUAGGGCGGGACACGUGGUAUCCUGUCUGAAUAUGGGGGGACCAUCCUCCAAGGCUAAAUACUCCUGACUGACCGAUAGUGAACCAGUACCGUGAGGGAAAGGCGAAAAGAACCCCGGCGAGGGGAGUGAAAAAGAACCUGAAACCGUGUACGUACAAGCAGUGGGAGCACCUUCGGGUGUGACUGCGUACCUUUUGUAUAAUGGGUCAGCGACUUAUAUUCUGUAGCAAGGUUAACCGUAUAGGGGAGCCGCAGGGAAACCGAGUCUUAACUGGGCGUUAAGUUGCAGGGUAUAGACCCGAAACCCGGUGAUCUAGCCAUGGGCAGGUUGAAGGUUGGGUAACACUAACUGGAGGACCGAACCGACUAAUGUUGAAAAAUUAGCGGAUGACUUGUGGCUGGGGGUGAAAGGCCAAUCAAACCGGGAGAUAGCUGGUUCUCCCCGAAAGCUAUUUAGGUAGCGCCUCGUGAACUCAUCUUCGGGGGUAGAGCACUGUUUCGGCUAGGGGGUCAUCCCGACUUACCAACCCGAUGCAAACUACGAAUACCGAAGAAUGUUAUCACGGGAGACACACGGCGGGUGCUAACGUCCGUCGUGAAGAGGGAAACAACCCAGACCGCCAGCUAAGGUCCCAAAGUCAUGGUUAAGUGGGAAACGAUGUGGGAAGGCACAGACAGCCAGGAUGUUGGCUUAGAAGCAGCCAUCAUUUAAAGAAAGCGUAAUAGCUCACUGGUCGAGUCGGCCUGCGCGGAAGAUGUAACGGGGCUAAACCAUGCACCGAAGCUGCGGCAGCGACACGAUGUGUUGUUGGGUAGGGGAGCGUUCUGUAAGCCUGCGAAGGUGACCUGUGAGGGUUGCUGGAGGUAUCAGAAGUGCGAAUGCUGACAUAAGUAACGAUAAAGCGGGUGAAAAGCCCGCUCGCCGGAAGACCAAGGGUUCCUGUCCAACGUUAAUCGGGGCAGGGUGAGUCGACCCCUAAGGCGAGGCCGAAAGGCGUAGUCGAUGGGAAACAGGUUAAUAUUCCUGUACUUGGUGUUACUGCGAAGGGGGGACGGAGAAGGCUAUGUUAGCCGGGCGACGGUUGUCCCGGUUUAAGCAUGUAGGCUGGUUAUCCAGGCAAAUCCGGAUAAUCAAGGCUGAGGUGUGAUGACGAGGCACUACGGUGCUGAAGUAACAAAUGCCCUGCUUCCAGGAAAAGCCUCUAAGCAUCAGGUAACAUCAAAUCGUACCCCAAACCGACACAGGUGGUCAGGUAGAGAAUACCAAGGCGCUUGAGAGAACUCGGGUGAAGGAACUAGGCAAAAUGGUGCCGUAACUUCGGGAGAAGGCACGCUGGUGUGUAGGUGAAGUCCCUGCGGAUGGAGCUGAGACCAGUCGAAGAUACCAGCUGGCUGCAACUGUUUAUUAAAAACACAGCACUGUGCAAACACGAAAGUGGACGUAUACGGUGUGACGCCUGCCCGGUGCCGGAAGGUUAAUUGAUGGGGUUAUCCGUAAGGAGAAGCUCUUGAUCGAAGCCCCGGUAAACGGCGGCCGUAACUAUAACGGUCCUAAGGUAGCGAAAUUCCUUGUCGGGUAAGUUCCGACCUGCACGAAUGGCGUAAUGAUGGCCAGGCUGUCUCCACCCGAGACUCAGUGAAAUUGAACUCGCUGUGAAGAUGCAGUGUACCCGCGGCAAGACGGAAAGACCCCGUGAACCUUUACUAUAGCUUGACACUGAACAUUGAGCCUUGAUGUGUAGGAUAGGUGGGAGGCUUUGAAGCGUGGACGCCAGUCUGCGUGGAGCCAACCUUGAAAUACCACCCUUUAAUGUUUGAUGUUCUAACGUUGGCCCCUGACCGGGGUUGCGGACAGUGUCUGGUGGGUAGUUUGACUGGGGCGGUCUCCUCCCAAAGCGUAACGGAGGAGCACGAAGGUUAGCUAAUCCUGGUCGGACAUCAGGAGGUUAGUGCAAUGGCAUAAGCUAGCUUGACUGCGAGCGUGACGGCGCGAGCAGGUGCGAAAGCAGGUCAUAGUGAUCCGGUGGUUCUGAAUGGAAGGGCCAUCGCUCAACGGAUAAAAGGUACUCCGGGGAUAACAGGCUGAUACCGCCCAAGAGUUCAUAUCGACGGCGGUGUUUGGCACCUCGAUGUCGGCUCAUCACAUCCUGGGGCUGAAGUAGGUCCCAAGGGUAUGGCUGUUCGCCAUUUAAAGUGGUACGCGAGCUGGGUUUAGAACGUCGUGAGACAGUUCGGUCCCUAUCUGCCGUGGGCGCUGGAGAAUUGAGGGGGGCUGCUCCUAGUACGAGAGGACCGGAGUGGACGCAUCACUGGUGUUCGGGUUGUCAUGCCAAUGGCACUGCCCGGUAGCUAAAUGCGGAAGAGAUAAGUGCUGAAAGCAUCUAAGCACGAAACUUGCCCCGAGAUGAGUUCUCCCUGAGACUUUAAGUCUCCUGAAGGAACGUUAAAGACGAUGACGUUGAUAGGCCGGGUGUGUAAGCGCAGCGAUGCGUUGAGCUAACCGGUACUAAUGAACCGUGAGGCUUAACCU
rnacentral:rRNA from 1 species